GGCCUCCGGCACUGAGCGAGGCUGCCCCGGUGCAGUAUGGAGGCGAAGGUAGGGUCCACGCAGAUUACGGGCGGUGCGUGCUCUGUGUUGGCGGAGGAGACCGAAAAGUGGAUGGAACAGGCGAUGCAAAUGGCCAAAGAAGCCCUAGAAAAUAUUGAGGUUCCUGUUGGCUGCCUUUUGGUCUACAACAAUGAAGUUGUAGGGAAGGGAAGAAAUGAAGUUAAUCAAACCAAAAAUGCUACUCGACAUGCAGAAAUGGUGGCCAUCGACCAGGCCCUCGAUUGGUGUCGUCGACAUGGCAAGAGUCCUUCUGAGGUGUUUGAACACAUGGUGCUGUACGUCACCGUGGAGCCGUGUAUCAUGUGCGCAGCCGCUCUCCGCCUGAUGAAAAUCCCGCUGGUUGUCUAUGGCUGUCAGAAUGAACGAUUUGGUGGUUGUGGCUCUGUUCUAGAUAUUGCCUCUGCUGAUCUACCGAAUACUGGGAGACCAUUUCAGUGCAUCCCUGGAUAUCGGGCUGAGGAAGCAGUGGAGAUGUUAAAGACCUUCUACAAACAAGAAAAUCCAAAUGCACCAAAAUCAAAGGUUCGGAAAAAGGAAUGUCAGAAAUCUUGAACUUGUUCUAAUGAAAGACUCAUGUUCCUGGACGACAUUCUUGGACAGAAAGCUGUUGACAUUGUUGAAUCGCUCAGAGACCAGCCUGCCUUCCUGUGGUUUCCGUGGAAUCGAAAUGUUUGCAUAGGUUUCGUCAUCUCCAGGAGAAGCUAGCUGGUCAUGCAGUGACGGCCUCGUCCUUCACCAGGAUGUCAAGUGUCGGAGGAUGAACCCAGAGACUUCAUAGAGCAGGUUUUUACAAGAAUAAGUCGUUUCAGGAGAAUUCAACAACAAGAAAACAUGGAGAAAGAAAAUACGGUGUGUUGAGGAAGUUUCCUCAAGGCUGGUCCAAUUGAGGAAACGGAAUCCUCUAAAGUCAUAAGUAGAGGUGCAAAAGCCUUCAGUUGCUUCUAUGUUACUGAAAUCUUGAGGUAAGAUGCCAUAUAUUCUAGCCUUUAUGUUCUCUUAAACUCUUGUGUUUCAGGUGUGUCAAGCCUUGUCUUCUAUAUAACACUUCAACAUUUGAGGUCAGAGCCUCCUGGUUCUUUUGCGUUCUUCUCUCUGAGUCCCUAAUGGGUGUCCAAAAGUACUUAAGUGACAUCAACUGUUAAUGUUUGAUGGCAAUUACCAUUGCCAAACAGUUUGGUAUUACAGUCAGUAACAUCGAGUCAUCUUGACCAUCUGUAUUUCCCCAAAGCAGUUCCUAAAGCCCCAGUGAUUUAUUUUAUGUGGUAAGGCAAUUCAUUCAGUUGUUCUUAAGCAAUUCACUUUAAUUUUCUUAAUUCAAGUAGAACUCUAUAUUGGUCUUUUUUUCUCCGUGUUCACCAUUCUUCCCAAACGUCUGUCUGUAUCUUUGUAUACUUCUGUAUCUUUUCAAACUUCUGUAUCCUAAACUUCUCUAUCUUCCUGAACAUCUGAACCUUUGACCUCCAGAGGGUGUUGCCUUCAUUCCUCCAAAACAGUUGCUGGGUACUGUGUGCUCAUUUGCCUGGAGUUCCUGACCACAGUGAAGCCACCUGUAUUUGUUUUGGAUGCCUAGCUGCCCAGACCUACAUGUUCAUUAUAUUUAUUCCCACCUGAGUAUACCUUGCAGUGGUUGGUGGGAAUUGGGGGACCAUGUUAACCCUCAUGUAUAUUCAGUUAAGUCAGAGAAAUCACUCCUGAACUUAGCCUAAUCAAAAAGGGGAAAUUAUUGGAAAGACUCAGGGUAGCUCUCAGAGAGGAAGAACUGUGUAAACCAGGAGUCAGAUUAGCUCCUGCAGCAACAGGUCUAGAAUCAAGGGCUAGGUAACAUCGCGUACCCUCUCCUUCCCACAUUGUUUUCUCCAUUUCCUUUCUACAUCAGUUUAAUUCUCUCCUCCGACAUACAAGCUUUCAACCUGUAGUAAAAACAUGUGGUAAAAAUAUGGCUGUUCCAGAUUCAUAUCCUUCCAGUUGUAUAAAAUAAAAGGGAAGAUCCUGUUUUUAAAAAGCUAAAACCAGGAGAGGGGAACUCUAAUGGCUGAACUUGACUUAGCUGUUCAGCUGUGGACUAGUUACUAGAGUCAGAGCAAUGGAGUACUAUCAUAGGCCCUGUCUUGGUCACAUGCCCACUCUUACGGCCAGGGUAGGUGGGGCAGCCCUGUGAUAGACAGACCCUGCCGGAACCACAAGGCGAGAGUGAGGAAGCAGCUCUUCCCCCAAACAGGGAUUAAUGUUGACUGUUAUGGACUGAAUUAUGUCCUCCUCAGAUUCAUAAUUUGAAGCUCUAUCCCCUAAUGUGACUGUAUUUGGACAUAGGGCCUUAAAAGAGGUAAUAAAGGUAAAUGAGACUGUAAGGGUGACCCUAAUCCAAUAUGACUGGUGUCCUUAGUAUAAGAGAGAGAGAGAAAUGCCAGGAAUGUGAGCACACAGGAAAAAGCCAGAAGGUGGUUAUGGCAGUCCUAGAAGACUAAUACACUGUCCUAGGUGAGCAAACAAUAUCUAUGACGUGGUACCUACCACACCCAGCUCCAUUUUGCUCUGAAAUUAUCUUACAAAAGAAAGUUAAGGGCUUAGGAAAUUAGCCAACUAGCUUUAUAAAGAGAUGCUCGCAGAUUGGAUGGGGUUGUCACCUGACCCAAGGGCAGCCCACUCCUAGGCUGGCUGGGAUCCCUGUGUGUGUACGUGUGGGGGGUGGAGAGGGGUUGGGCAAAAGUUAUUAGCUAAGUCAUUCAGAUUAGCUCCUCCUAGGAUGUGGGUCAUGGAAGACUGGUUUAUUCCUAGCAAGAAAACAGCAAAGACUCUUCUGAAGAGGCAGAAUCGCCAUGAGAGAGAAAUGGAGAGUAACAACUUCCUCCCGUGACCUCAGAUCGUGACAGCUUGCCAUUGGGGGUGACCAACUUGUCCAAGUUUUCCUGGACUUCCCUGGUUUUGACUCUGAAAGUCCCAUGUCCUGGUGGGUUUUCUAAUUCCUUAUGAAGUCAGCCUCUCUUCUUUUAACACUAAGAGUCCAAUUAUGAUUACAACUGUUAUAAUUUUUUCUGACUGUUAUCCUGGGGAAAUAGAUUUUUGUAUUUAAAAAAACCAAAAUAGUGUUCUCGGUGAGUGAGUGAACUCGAUAUCUAGCCCUGGAGAGGAGAGGCAAGGAGAGAGAGGACAGGAUGUGAAUGUGGGGGAGACCACUGAGGGAGUGGGAGUUGCUGAUGUAGAGUGAGAUAUGAUUAGGGAGAAGAAGUAUAAAAUGAAAUUAAAGACCAAAAUGAGCUCUUUGAAUAUCGCCCCAGCGUUCAGUGCCUGUGGGUAAACAUGGGGGCUAGUUUGCCGUAGCUGUAGACCUGUGGGUACAGAAUGGCCAUUUGCCUCUCUUUCCCCUUGAUUCGCCUUUACUUGAUUCAAAAGGAAAUUCAGGUUAAAUAAAAUCAUCUUCUACAUAUGGCCACAUAAAAUUUCUUUUAUCACCCUGUGUUUCUGUUUUGUUAAACUUUUCAUCUUUAAAAGAUGUCUAUAGUUGUUACACUUAUUUUUAAAAAAUCUACCUCUUAACUCUUCAGUCUAGCUUCUCCCUUCACACCUCUGAAAUCAUCUUGUCCGUCUUUAUGAUGACUUCCUAAUUACUAAUUUGUAUGGCUCCUUCUCCAACUGAUCGUCCUUUCGUCAUCCUUUCUAAGAUUUCACACUGCUAUUUUCACACUUUUGAAACUCGCUCUUCCUGUGGCUACUG